rnacentral:rRNA from 1 species
GACGAACGCUGGCGGCGUGCUUAACACAUGCAAGUCGAACGGAAAGGCCCUGCUUUUGUGGGGUGCUCGAGUGGCGAACGGGUGAGUAACACGUGAGUAACCUGCCCUUGACUUUGGGAUAACUUCAGGAAACUGGGGCUAAUACCUGAUAGGAGCUCCUGCUGCAUGGUGGGGGUUGGAAAGUUUCGGCGGUUGGGGAUGGACUCGCGGCUUAUCAGCUUGUUGGUGGGGUAGUGGCUUACCAAGGCUUUGACGGGUAGCCGGCCUGAGAGGGUGACCGGCCACAUUGGGACUGAGAUACGGCCCAGACUCCUACGGGAGGCAGCAGUGGGGAAUAUUGCACGAUGGGCGGAAGCCUGAUGCAGCAACGCCGCGUGCGGGAUGACGGCCUUCGGGUUGUAAACCGCUUUCGCCUGUGACGAAGCGUGAGUGACGGUAAUGGGUAAAGAAGCACCGGCUAACUACGUG